GAUGAACGCUGGCGGCGUGCCUAAUACAUGCCAGUCGAGCGAACAGACGAGGAGCUUGCUCCUCUGACGUUAGCGGCGGACGGGUGAGUAACACGUGUAUAACCUACCUAUAAGACUGGGAUAACUUCGGGAAACCGGAGCUAAUACCGGAGAAUAUAUUGAACCGCAUGGUUCAAUAGUGAAAGACGGUUUUUGUGUCACUUAUAGAUGGAUCCGCGCCGCAUGAGCUAGUUGGUAAGGUAACGGCUUACCAAGGCAACGAUGCGUAGCCGACCUGAGAGGGUGAUCGGCCACACUGGAACUGAGACACGGUCCAGACUCCUACGGGAGGCAGCAGUAGGGAAUCGUCCGCAAUGGGCGAAAGCCUGACGGAGCAACGCCGCGUGAGUGAUGAAGGUCUUCGGAUCGUAAAACUCUGUUAUUAGGGAAGAACAAAUGUGUAAGUAACUAUGCACGUCUUGACGGUACCUAAUCAGAAAGCCACGGCUAACUACGUG
rnacentral:rRNA from 1 species